rnacentral:rRNA from 1 species
UGGGGAAUCUUGCGCAAUGGGCGAAAGCCUGACGCAGCAACGCCGCGUGCGGGAAGAAGGCCUUCGGGUCGUAAAGCCCUGUCGGGAGGGAAGAAAAAAUCCGGACCUAAUACGUUCGGGAAUUGACGGUACCUCCUAAGGAAGCACCGGCUAACUCCGUGCCAGCAGCCGCGGUAAUACGGAGGGUGCUAGCGUUGUUCGGAAUCACUGGGCGUAAAGGGCGUGUAGGCGGUUUGUUAAGUCUGAUGUGAAAUCCCCUCGCUCAACGAGGGAACUGCGUCGGAUACUGGCAGACUUGAGUACCGGAGAGGAAGGUGGAAUUCCCGGUGUAGCGGUGAAAUGCAUAGAUAUCGGGAGGAACACCGGUGGCGAAGGCGGCCUUCUGGACGGAUACUGACGCUGAGACGCGAAAGCGUGGGGAGCAAACAGGAUUAGAUACCCUGGUAGUCCCUGAGCGGGCUGGCAAGGCGCAU